AGUCAGGACCUGUUCUUCUUCUCUCCACGCCAUCACCACCAACUACCACCAUUGUUCUUCUUCUCCAUAAAAAAAAAAAGUUUACUAUUUUCAAUCACCCAAAAUCACAUGCAAAUUCUUGGCUAAACUCCUCACAACCCAAGGAUUAAGGCAAUUAAGGUAAUAGAAAAAUAAACUCUUCUUUCCUCACCAAUCUCUCUGCCUCUCGUACUCUCUCAUUUUCACAAACUCCAAUUUCAUUCUUUCCUCACCAAUCUCUCUGCCUCUCGUACUAUCUCAUUUUCACAAACUCCAAUUUCACUCUCAAUUCUUAGUUGCAUGUGCUGUUGUUCAUUCAAUCAUAAGGAUAUGGGCCAUUGGAAUUCUAAGGUAAGGGUAGUAAUUUCAGUUUCAUUCCUUUUCUCUAUGAACCCUAAGACCAAUAUAUGUCCCUACCCAUUGGAUUGAUUGUUUGUACAUGAUUUUAUGUUUUGGAACACUCAUGAGAGCUUGAGACCUGCAUUGAACAAGAAAAUAGGAAAGAAGAACAGAAAUUGGAAACAAGCAAAAAUUGGAAUGAGCCUAAGGAAAUUCUGUGUUUGGGAUAUGCCUGCAGUAAAACAGGUACUGAUGCUGUCAAAUUCUGGGUUUUGGAUUGUGAGUUUUAUGCGCUCGGAUGCUCGAGAGUGUACGGAUCAGUUCAGUGAUGCUGAAUAUCUCACAUAAACAGGUUGCUCAAGGCAUGGAGGCUGCGAGCUAAGUGGAGCAGGAGGCAUCCAGAGAUAUUAAUUAGAUGUUAUCUGUUUCAAUUUAUGUGUCAUAAUGGUUGUACAAUAUUUUAUAUGUAUUAACCUUUUCAGUCCUACCAAGUUAGGCUUGUCUGACGAAGAAUUACCUCGUAAUCCUACCAUGUUAGACAAAAGAAUUCUGUAAUUUUAAUGUAUCAUGAUUCAGUUAUGUAUACUCCUAUUGAUAUUCUAGAUAAAUUAAUAUGGGGUGUUAUAGAUUUCA